CAAAGAUUCGAACCUGCAGCAGGUUUGAGUUGAGCGCAGCGAAACAACGGAGCCGCUCGCGGCGACGGCCCGAAGGGCGAGCGAAGCGAGUCAUCCUGCACGACCCACCA
rnacentral:sRNA from 2 species